UAGGGAAUCUUCGGCAAUGGGGGGAACCCUGACCGAGCAACGCCGCGUGAGUGAAGAAGGUUUUCGGAUCGUAAAGCUCUGUUGUUAAGGAAGAACGAGUGUGAGAAUGGAAAGUUCAUACUGUGACGGUACUUAACCAGAAAGGGACGGCUAACUACGUGCCAGCAGCCGCGGUAAUACGUAGGUCCCGAGCGUUGUCCGGAUUUAUUGGGCGUAAAGCGAGCGCAGGCGGUUAGAUAAGUCUGAAGUUAAAGGCAGUGGCUCAACCAUUGUAGGCUUUGGAAACUGUUUAACUUGAGUGCAGAAGGGGAGAGUGGAAUUCCAUGUGUAACGGUGAAAUGCGUAGAUAUAUGGAGGAACACCAGUGGCGAAGGCGACUCUCUGGUCUGUAACUGACGCUGAGGCUCGAAAGCGUGGGUAGCAAACAGG
rnacentral:rRNA from 1 species